UACGUAGGGUGCGAGCGUUGUCCGGAAUUACUGGGCGUAAAGAGCUCGUAGGUGGUUUGUCGCGUUGUCCGUGAAAACUCACAACUCAAUUGUGGGCGUGCGGGCGAUACGGGCAGACUGGAGUACUGCAGGGGAGAUUGGAAUUCCUGGUGUAGCGGUGGAAUGCGCAGAUAUCAGGAGGAACACCGGUGGCGAAGGCGGGUCUCUGGGCAGUAACUGACGCUGAGGAGCGAAAGCGUGGGGAGCGAACAGG
rnacentral:rRNA from 1 species